rnacentral:rRNA from 1 species
GCAGUCGAGCGCGUAGCAUACGAGCGGCAGACGGGUGAGUAACGCGUGGGAAUCUACCCAUCACUACGGAAUAACUCAGGGAAACUUGUGCUAAUACCGUAUACGCCCCUCUUUAAAAGAUCAGGAUUAUGGAUUUCCUGGUUUUUUAUGGGGGGGAGAGAUUGAUCGGUGAUGGAGGAGCCCGCGUUGGAUUAGCUAGUUGGUGGGGUAAAGGCCUACCAAGGCGACGAUCCAUAGCUGGUCUGAGAGGAUGAUCAGCCACAUUGGGACUGAGACACGGCCCAAACUCCUACGGGAGGCAGCAGUGGGGAAUAUUGGACAAUGGGCGCAAGCCUGAUCCAGCCAUGCCGCGUGUGUGAUGAAGGCCUUAGGGUUGUAAAGCACUUUCACCGGAGAAGAUAAUGACGGUAUCCGGAGAAGAAGCCCCGGCUAACUUCGUGCCAGCAGCCGCGGUAAUACGAAGGGGGCUAGCGUUGUUCGGAAUUACUGGGCGUAAAGCGCACGUAGGCGGAUCGAUCAGUCAGGGGUGAAAUCUCGCAGCUCAACUGCGGAACUGCCUUUGAUACUGUCG